AUACGUAGGGGGCAAGCGUUGUCCGGAAUUACUGGGCGUAAAGAGCUCGUAGGCGGCUCAGCAAGUCGGUCGUGAAAGCCCGAGGCUCAACCUCGGAACUGCGGUCGAUACUGCUGUGGCUAGAGUCCGGUAGAGGAGAGUGGAAUUCCCGGUGUAGCGGUGGAAUGCGCAGAUAUCGGGAGGAACACCAGUGGCGAAGGCGGCUCUCUGGGCCGGUGCUGACGCUGAGGAGCGAAAGCGUGGGGAGCAAACAGCAUUAGAUACCCCAGUAGUCC
rnacentral:rRNA from 1 species